UUUAACUUUUUGAGGAACCUCCAUACUGUUCUCCAGAGUGGCUGCACCAGUUUGCAUUCCCACCAACAGUGCAAAAGGUGCUGGGAAAACUGGACAGUAGCAUGCAGAAGAAUGAAACUGGACCACUUUCUACACCAUACACAAAAAUAAAUUCAAAAUGGGUGAAGGACCUAAAUGUAAUAUAGGAAACCAUCAGAAUUCUGGAGGAGAAAACAGUCAGCAACUUCUUUGACCUCGGCUACAGCAACUUCUUACUAGACAUGUCUCUGGAGGCAAAGGAAACAAAAGCAGAAAUGAACUACUGGGACCUCAUCAAAAUAAAAAGCUUCUGCACAGCAGAGGAAACAAUCAGAAAAACUAAAAGGCAACUGACCAAAUGGCAGAAGAUAUUUGCAAAUGACAUUUUGGAUAAAGGUUUCCAUGGAGUAAAACACUCAGCUAGACAUACACUAGGUACUCAGUAGGCAUCGGACUUGGAGCCGAGGAGACCUUCCUGUCCAUCUUCUCUUCCUACAAUGCUACCAACUCCAGCCUUCCCCAAGGAGGCUCAUGAUUGGCCCAUGACAAAGAUAAUAUGUGCUCAAAAAAAUCGAGAGAGACAUCCAGAAGAAAACACAAAUGUCUUGAAAUCCUAACUCCCAGAGCCAAUCACCGUCAACCUUUGUAUAAGCAUUCUUCUGAUCCCUUUCAUCCCACACAACUACUUGUGGAGAUGUGGCUACUCUGAGGUACGUGCUGUGAUCCUUUACCUGCCAUUUGGCCUUCAUAGUGUGUUGUGGACAGCUCUCCGUGUCAUUGCAUAUAUAUGUGUAGCUGGGUAUUCAUCCCCUUCAGUGGCUGCAUAGCAUUGCACUUUACCAGCAUGUUAUCCUCUAUUUACCCCAGUCCACUAUUGAUAACUAGGUUGUUUCCAGAUUUACAUUAUUCUAUGCAACACCAAAGUCAAAUAACCUUCUGUUACAUCUUUGCAAACUUGUCAGGCUAUCUUUUAUGGAUAAAUUCCUCGCAGUGGCAUUGAUGGAGCAAAUGGUGACGUUCAAGUCAUCUAAAAUACGCUAUUUCCUUUAAACUCAUGAUACUUCUGAAUCAUUUUUAACUAAAAGCCAAAUGCAGUGAAUUGAUCUUAGAAAAGUAAUUGACAACAUUUUCUAAAAGCUUCCCCAGGCCUGUGAGGAAGAUUGAUGAUACUGGGAUGUGGGGUUCCCUUUAACUUCUUCAAUUUUCACCCAAGUCUCUAUUGUUUUUACUUCUUCUGUGCCUCCCUCACAGAUUGAUGACUUUCCCCAUUUUAGAACUGAACCCCUUAGCAUUCACCAUUUGUAUUUUAGGUCGUCUCAAAUUAGUACACAGGUAAUGGCAACAGAUAAUAACAAUAGCAAACACUUGUAUGGCAUGUACAGUGUGUCAGGCAUGCAGUGGUAUGUACUUUUCAAAUAUAGCUGAGUUCAUCUUAUAAAAAGUCUUAGGUAGAAAUUGCCAACAUCUUCAUUUCACUGGUGAAGAAACGUAGGCCCUAAAAGACUAAAUGAUUUGUUCAAAUUCAGACAGCAAAUAUGUGGUUGAGCCAGGAAUAAAACCUGUGCAGUUUGGCUCCAGAAGCUUACAGGUUCAUCUAAGCCAAUGUGCCUUCCCUUGCCAGCUCACAAAGGUGGUAGACACAGGUGCUCCAUGCCCUAGCUACUCAACUUCUGUGAGCAGCCAGUCAUAAUCCCCUCCUCCCCCAGCAUCUCAGUUGAAUUAAGAUGUGGAAGUUACCUGUGUUCAUUUGGUAGGAUGUAAGCCUCUUCUUGUGUUUGAAUGAACCCUCUAGAACUAAUACAAGAUCCUGCUUUCUACAUCUCUCUUUCCCCUCCCUAUUGUUCAAGGCCAAGUUCACCAUACUCAUUCUGGAACAAAAGUCUCUUCUGGUUCCUUAUUCAAGGCAGUGGGCAAUUUUGCAUAGGACCUUCUUUCAUGCAGUUCUAAACUUCAGGGCUGGAGGAAACUGGGAUUUCUCCCUUCCUUGUUUGUAAAUAAUGUCUCUUGUUGGCAGAGUUUGUUUUAAUCAUAAAAGUAUGUUGUGUUGGUUGCAGAAAAAAAAUUUUACAGGCAGGAAAGUAUAAAGAAGCAAAUAAAAUCACUUGUUAGAGGAAAGCACUAUUAAUGUUUUUAGUGUAUUUCCUUCCAUUAUUUUUUAUAUACACAUGUAAGUAUAUAUGUACUUAUACGUUAUAACUACAAAAGAUUAUGGUCAUGUAUACUGGUUUUUGUUUGAUUUUAUAAUCAUAACCAGUUUUACAAAUCAUUAAAAAAUCUUUAGGGGUGCCUUGGUGGUUCAGCCGGUUAAGCGUCCAACUCUUGGUUUCAGUUCAGGUCACAAGGUUUGAGUUCAAGCCCUGCAUCAAGCUCUACACUGACAGUGCAGAGCCUGCUUGGGAUUUUCUCUCUCUCCUUCUCUCUCUGCUCUUCCCGAGCAUUCUCUCUCUCUCAAAAAUAAAUAAAUAAACUCUUAAAAAAAGUUAAAAAAUUCUUCAAAAUCAUGAUAUUUAAUGACUAUUUCAUCAUCUAGAUAUAUAAUUACUUUAAUCAUUUAUGUGUUCUGGGAAAUUUUAAUUUUUUCCCUUUUCACUUACUUACACUGUUAUGAACAUCUUUGCAUUUAAAUGUCUCUCCACAGCUCUGUUUUUUCCCUCUAGAAUAACUAGAAGAGGAAUUUUCAUGGUACUUGAUUUGUGUUAUGAAUUGCUUGUCAAAAAGCUUUCCAGUUUACAUUCUUGUAGAAGUAUAUGAGAAUGCAUAUGUCCCUAUACCCUGCCAGCAUGUACUGUAGUUUUUAAAAUCUCUGCCAGUUUGAAGAGGGGAAAACGGUUUUAAUUUUGAACUUUUUUUUCAAGUGCUUAUUGGCCAUUUCUUGUUUUAGUCCC